AAUGAACGCUGGCGGCAGGCCUAAAACAUGCAAGUCGAACGCCCUAGCAAUAGGGAGCGGCGCACGGGUGAGUAACAUGUGGGAAUAUGCCUUUUGGUACGGAACAACGUUUGGAAACGAACGCUAAUACCGUAUGGUCCCUCCGGGGUAAAGAUUUAUCGCCAAAAGAUUAGCCCGCACUAGAUUAGCUAGUUGGUAAGGUAAUGGCUUACCAAGGCGACGAUCUAUAGCUGUUCUGAGAGGAAGAUCAGCCACACUGGGACUGAGACACGGCCCAGACUCCUACGGGAGGCAGCAGUUAGGAAUAUUGGACAAUGGGCGCAAGCCUGAUCCAGCCAUGCCGCGUGAGUGAUGAAGGCCUUCGGGUUGUAAAGCUCUUUAGCCGACGAAUAUAAUGACUGUAGUCGGAGAAUAAGCCCCGGCUAACUUCGUGCCAGCCGCCGCCGUAAGAC
rnacentral:rRNA from 1 species